rnacentral:rRNA from 1 species
AUUGAACGCUGGCGGCAUGCUUUACACAUGCAAGUCGAACGCGGUUCGGGGGCAACCCUGGACUGAGUGGCGAACGGGUGAGUAAUGCAUCGGAACGUACCCUGUCGUGGGGGAUAACCAGUCGAAAGACUGGCUAAUACCGCAUACGACCUUAAGGGUGAAAGCGGGGGACCUGUGAGGGCCUCGCGCGACUGGAGCGGCCGAUACCGGAUUAGCUAGUAGGUGGGGUAAAGGCUCACCUAGGCGACGAUCCGUAGCUGGUCUGAGAGGAUGAUCAGCCACACUGGGACUGAGACACGGCCCAGACUCCUACGGGAGGCAGCAGGGGGGAAUUGUUCGCAAUGGGCGCAAGCCUGACGACGCAACGCCGCGUGGAGGACGAAGACCUUCGGGUCGUAAACUCCUUUCGAUCGAGACGAAUGGCCCCUGGGCUAAUCACCAGGGGAAUGACGGUACCGAGAGAAGAAGCCCCGGCUAACUCCGUGCCAGCCGCCGCAGUAAAAC